UGGGGAUCAAGAAAAGACGAUCCUGAGAUUACCAAGUGUGGGGAAAGCCAGAGCUCCCACCUUCCCAUGAGGCAUCUCCAAACAAAGCAGUCCAGAUUUCAUCUGUUUUCUCUUUAUGGACUUCAAGUAGGCUUUAUUUCUUUUAAACAAAAGAUUUUAUCUGCUACAAACAAAGGCACAAGCAGAAACUUUAAACCUCAUGGUUAUAUUCCCAUGCCAACGAAUAUGAACAUUUCUAAAGAUUAGAAGAGGACAUUGGAUUUAGUGAUUAGAAGGCUGUUAAUAUCUUAGAGGUGGCCGGCCGCGGUGGCUCACAUCUAUAAUCCCAGCACUUUGGGAGGCCGAGGCAGGCAGAUCACAAAGUCAAGAGAUCGAGACCAUCCUGGCCAACGUGGUGAAACCCCAUCUCUACUAAAAAUACAAAAAUUAGCUGGGCAUGGUGGUGCACACCUGUAGUCUCAGCUACUCAGGAGGCUGAGGCAGGAGAAUCGCUUAAACCCGGGAGGUGGAGGUUGCAGUGGACUGAGAUUGCGCCACUACACUCCAGCCUAGCAACACAGCAAGACUCUGUCUCAAAAAAAAAAAAAAAAAAAAAAAAGAAAGAAAGAAAGAAAGAAAGAAAGAAAAGAAAGGAAAAGAAAAAAGAAAAAAAUCUUAGAGGUAACAUCAUCUAUAAUACUCUAUCCCCACUCUGACCAGCUAGAAAACCGGUGUGAUGGAGACAGAAAAGUGGCCAUGUGACCUAAAGUCAAAUUUGUUUCCUGGUGAUAUCUUGACGUGUUCAGGAGAUACUAUUCCAAAGCACCUCAUAUGUUUAUGAAGAGCACCACACAUGUUAAGAAGAAUGUAUAAGACCAUGCAACAAAGCUGACUAUAAUGAUAAGAAAUUGCUACAGCCACCCUAACCUCCUUCAGCAACCACUACCCUGAUCAGUGAGCAGCCGUCAAUAUCAAGGCAAGACCCUUCACAAGUAAGAAGAUUAUGACCCACUGUAUGCUCAGAUUAUCAUCAGCAAUUUUUAGCAACACAAUACUUAUAAUUAGGGAGAUUCGGCAUGGACUCUCCCACCACCAUUAUGAAAGAUACAGAGAGAGAUUAGUCAAUAGAAGGAGAACAAGCUGGCUGAACCAAAGAUUGACUAAAGAUCAGAGCAAUGAAAGAGAAAAGAGGAGGAAUUUUUUAAAGGAAUAAACCAACUCAUCCACCUGCUCUUGCAAAGCAGGGAAUCAAUUAUGCCAACAAAGGGAGGCACAAUGAAAAUUGCAGAGAGAAAGCCCAUGAAUGAAUGAGCUUGCGCAGGGUGUGGAUAGAUUGAAAUAUACAGGCUGACCCAGGGGAAGAGAAAGAUGACGCAAGUGGAUGGCAAAGAAAAGGAAGGUGGGUGGCCAAGCAGGUGCCCACAAUGCUGGGCAAAUAGGAGCAAUCAGGGGUAGGGACAGAAUUAUUUCCCUUCCAGAGAACUCCCUUUUGAUGCUGAACUAGUUGAGACGCUGGAAUUAGUAUCAGAAGAGGCCACCUGCACCACUUCAGAGCACAGUCAUCCUUCUGAUUGCUACAUAACAAAGAAUGCACUAGCAAGCAGCAACAUUUUUUCUUUGUUUUUAUGCAGCUUCCUAAAGCCCAGCUGAAUUCAAAAGCAGCCGUGUGACUCCUUCUUAGCAAACACCACACACACACACACACACACACACACACACACACACAGAAGAUGGGGGCAUUACCGAGUUGUUGAAAUUAAGUUGCCUGCUGUGUCAGAAUAGUCAAGAAAGAGCAGAGAUAACAUGAUUCCAGCCAUAACCUAUAGAUAAUUCUUAAUGGUGAAGUGAUUUUAAUGAGGAAGAAAAGACUGAUUUACAACCAUCAAGUUCUGUUAAUAUGAACUCAGUACAAGUGCUGAAUUACAUUCACUGGGUAAGAAAAAAAAAAAAGGAAGGUAGUUUUGAUCACACUUCUUCCCCACUCAGAAACCUUCAAUGACUGCCAAUGUCUUUCAGAACAAUGUCUAAACUCACAAGCGUGUUGCUCAGGGAUUUCCACUGCCUGAUUUUAAUCUGGGUUUUCAUCCAUGGGCAGCCUAUCUGCCAACUCAAACGAGCUAAGUUGACUUCCUCUCUUCUCUUUGACUUUAUUUCCCUUCUCUGUUUCUAUCAGCCAAAAUCUACCUGUUCUCCAAGACUCUGCUCAAAUACAAUCUCUUUCUUCAAGCCUUCUCAGAUGUCUCCACGUGAAAGUAAUAUUUAGCAUCCUUUAGCACAUUAAAGCGUUCCUGUGCCCAGUGGUUCUGAAAUUUUAACGUGCAUCAGAGUUCCCUGGAGGACUUUUACAACCAUAAAUUGCUAGACCCCCAGCCACAGUUUCUCAUUUAGCAGGUGUAUGGUGGGGCACAAGCAUUUCCAUUUCUAACAAGUCCCCAAGUGAUGCCAACACUGCCGAGCCAGAGACCACACUUUGAGAGCUGCCACCAGAACAAGACUGAGCAUGUCUCACUUCCCCUUAUAAAGCUUCUUGGGAACAGAAAAGAAUUCUGUCUUUGUAUUUCCAUAACUCUUCAGCCCAAGUUUAUAUUCAGUAGAUACUCAACAAAUAUUUAUCAAAUUAAAUGUGUGUGCGCCUAUUGCUUCAUGUAUGUUUGUGUAUAUACAUUCAUAUUCAUUUAACAAAUAUUUAUUGCAGACGCAUACAUUUGAAAAAUGCAUGUGUAUGGUAAGAAUAUUUAAAGUUUAAGCAGGUUUCUUAAUCAUCUCACAUUUGGCAAGCUAAA
rnacentral:lncRNA from 1 species